UACAGAGGUCUCAAGCGUUGUUCGGAUUCAUUGGGCGUAAAGGGUGCGUAGGUGGCGCCGUAAGUCAGAUGUGAAAUUCCGGAGCUUAACUCCGGAACUGCAUUUGAUACUGCGGUGCUUGAGGACUGGAGAGGAGACUGGAAUUCACGGUGUAGCAGUGAAAUGCGUAGAUAUCGUGAGGAAGACCAGUGGCGAAGGCGGGUCUCUGGACAGUUCCUGACACUGAGGCACGAAGGCCAGGGGAGCAAACGGG
rnacentral:rRNA from 1 species